UACGGNCCGGCUUGAGUGCGGUAGGGGAGGCUGGAACUCCUGGUGUAGCGGUGGAAUGCGCAGAUNUCAGGAAGAACACCGGUGGCGAAGGCGGGUCUCUGGGCCGUUACUGACGCUGAGGAGCGAAAGCGUGGGGAGCGAACAGGAUUAGAUACCCUGGUAGUCCACGCCGUAAACGUUGGGCACUAGGUGUGGGGGGCCUUUUCCGGGUUUUCCGCGCCGUAGCUAACGCAUUAAGUGCCCCGCCUGGGGAGUACGGCCGCAAGGCUAAAACUCAAAGGAGUUGACGGGGGCCCGCACAAGCGGCGGAGCAUGCGGAUUAAUUCGAUGCAACGCGAAGAACCUUACCAAGGCUUGACAUGUGCCGGUCGGCUCCGGAGACGGGGUUUCCUCCUUGUGGGGCCGGUUCACAGGUGGUGCAUGGUUGUCGUCAGCUCGUGUCGUGAGAUGUUGGGUUAAGUCCCGCAACGAGCGCAACCCUUGUCUCGUGUUGCCAGCACGUUGUGGUGGGGACUCGCGGGAGACUGCCGGGGUCAACUCGGAGGAAGGCGGGGAUGACGUCAAAUCAUCAUGCCCCUUAUGUCUUGGGCUUCACGCAUGCUACAAUGGCCGGUACAGAGGGCUGCGAUACUGUGAGGUGGAGCGAAUCCCUUAAAGCCGGUCUCAGUUCGGAUCGGUGUCUGCAACUCGACACCGUGAAGUUGGAGUCGCUAGUAAUCGCAGAUCAGCAACGCUGCGGUGAAUACG
rnacentral:rRNA from 1 species